rnacentral:rRNA from 1 species
UAGGGAAUCUUCCACAAUGGACGCAAGUCUGAUGGAGCAACGCCGCGUGAGUGAAGAAGGUUUUCGGAUCGUAAAGCUCUGUUGUUGGUGAAGAAGGACAGGGAAAGCAACUGGUCUCUGUUUGACGGUAAUCAACCAGAAAGUCACGGCUAACUACGUGCCAGCAGCCGCGGUAAUACGUAGGUGGCAAGCGUUGUCCGGAUUUAUUGGGCGUAAAGCGAACGCAGGCGGGAGAAUAAGUCAGCUGUGAAAGCCCUCAGCUUAACUGGGGAACUGCAGCUGAAACUAUUUUUCUUGAGUGCAGAAGAGGAGAGUGGAACUCCAUGUGUAGCGGUGGAAUGCGUAGAUAUAUGGAAGAACACCAGUGGCGAAGGCGGCUGUCUAGUCUGUAACUGACGCUGAGGCUCGAAAGCAUGGGUAGCGAACAGG